UCGCGGUGGGAGGACCCCGAGAAGCGGGGAAGGGGAGGUUCGCAGCGGGGGCGGCCGCAGCCUGAGCCUCUUCCCGCCCCCCAGCAGAGGGGUCCCGUCUGUCCUCUGGGGCCUGGACACUGGUUGCUGCCCACUUCCCGCCUACCUUCCAGCUGAGCCUCCGGGCUGCACUCCAAGAACGCCCCGUCGGCGACGGACCCCCCGGCAGCGCAGACUGGGACCCUGAUUUCUCCAGCAGAUGUCAGGAGCCUGGACAUCUCUGUUCUUCCGCCCGUAUCCACCAUUCCACACCUGUGGCCACAGUUCUUAAUACUCAGAUCAGGACACAUGCUGAGUGUUGAGGAGCCAGCAGUGACCAAGAUGGACAGAGUCUCCUGGCCUCGUGGUGUGGUGGGGACAGAGAAUUAUCACGAAGAUUCGUCUAUGUUUUUGUAUUUGAGCCCCUUUUGCUCCUGAGGGAACUGAGGCACAGGGAGGUGUGACUUGGGGGCGCGAGGAGGAGGAGGUGUCACACAGGUUCGGCCCCAGAGCGGCGCGGGUCCCGGAUGCCCAGGCCGCCGAGGGGCGCUCUGGCGGGUGGGACGCGGGCAGGU